GACGAACGCUGGCGGCGUGCUUAACACAUGCAAGUCGAACGGAAAGGCCCUGCUUUUGUGGGGUGCUCGAGUGGCGAACGGGUGAGUAACACGUGAGUAACCUGCCCUUGACUUUGGGAUAACUUCAGGAAGCUGGGGCUAAUACCGGAUAGGAGCUCCUGCUGCAUGGUGGGGGUUGGAAAGUUUCGGCGGUUGGGGAUGGACUCGCGGCUUAUCAGCUUGUUGGUGGGGUAGUGGCUUACCAAGGCUUUGACGGGUAGCCGGCCUGAGAGGGUGACCGGCCACAUUGGGACUGAGAUACGGCCCAGACUCCUACGGGAGGCAGCAGUGGGGAAUAUUGCACAAUGGGCGGAAGCCUGAUGCAGCAACGCCGCGUGCGGGAUGACGGCCUUCGGGUUGUAAACCGCUUUCGCCUGUGACGAAGCAUGAGUGACGGUAAUGGGUAAAGAAGCACCGGCUAACUACGUG
rnacentral:rRNA from 1 species